GAUGAAGAACGUAGCGAAAUGCGAUAAGUAAUGUGAAUUGCAGAAUUCAGUGAAUCAUCGAAUCUUUGAACGCACAUUGCGCCCUCUGGUAUUCCGGGGGGCAUGCCUGUUCGAGCGUCAUUACAACCCUCAAGCUUUGCUUGGUAUUGGACAUUGCCAGUUUCUGGCAGGCCUUAAAAUCAGUGGCGGUGCCAUUUGGCUUCAAGCGUAGUAAUUCUUCUCGCUUUGGAGAUCCAAGUGGUUACUUGCCAAUAACCCCCAAUUUUUUCAGGUUGACCUCGGAUCAGGUAGGGAUACCCGCUGAACUUAAGUAUAUCAAUAAGCGGAGGA
rnacentral:misc_RNA from 1 species